rnacentral:misc_RNA from 1 species
AAAGAGGAAAGCUCCCGGCGAAAGCUGGGUGCGACCUUAACCCUUGCUUAUUAUACCUUCGUUGCUUUGGCAGACGCCUGCAAAGGCCCGUGGCUUCGGCUGCGGCGCGCUGCCAGAGGACCACAACUCUUGUUUUUAGUGAUGUCUGAGUACUAUAUAAUAGUUA